rnacentral:rRNA from 1 species
GACGAACGCUGGCGGCGUGCUUAACACAUGCAAGUCGAACGGAAAGGCCCUGCUUUUGUGGGGUGCUCGAGUGGCGAACGGGUGAGUAACACGUGAGUAACCUGCCCUUGACUUUGGGAUAACUUCAGGAAACUGGGGCUAAUACCGUAUAGGAUCUCCUGCUGCAUGGUGGGGGUUGGAAAGUUUCGGCGGUUGGGGAUGGACUCGCGGCUUAUCAGCUUGUUGGUGGGGUAGUGGCUUACCAAGGCUGUGACGGGUAGCCGGCCUGAGAGGGUGACCGGCCACAUUGGGACUGAGAUACGGAGCAGACUCCUACGGGAGGCAGCAGUGGGGAAUAUUGCACAAUGGGAGGAAGCCUGAUGAAGCAACGCCGCGUGCGGGAUGACGGCCUUCGGGUUGUAAAACGCUUUCGCCUGUGACGAAGCGUGAGUGACGGUAAUGGGUAAAGAAGCACCGGCUAACUACGUG